rnacentral:lncRNA from 1 species
AGUCAUGUGUCUGGAGCACCCACUGUCAAAAUACCAAUCUUCUUUUGCUGAGACUCUGAAGGAAGUGUGAGCUAUCAGACUUGUAACAUCAGUCCUAGGAACCCAUUGUUUUUUGUUGACAGGUCUGUGAUGUUUGGGUUUAGGUUGAUGAUGAGAGGGACUAGGAUAGCCAUACAACUUAUAGCAGAAUGGUUUUAUGUGGCCAAAUUUUCCACAGUAGUGACAUCUCCAUCUUUGAUUUUUC